rnacentral:rRNA from 1 species
CCUACGGGAGGCAGCAGUGAGGAAUCUUCGUCAAUGGACGCAAGUCUGAACCAGCCAAGCCGCGUGAAGGAAGACGGCUCUAUGAGUUGUAAACUUCUUUUGUAAAGGAGUACAAGGAGAUACGUGUCUCUGUUUGCCAGUACGGUAUGAAUAAGGAUCGCCUAACUCCGUGCCAGCCGCCGCGGUAAUACGGAGGAUCCGAGCGUUAUCCGGAUUUAUUGGGUUUAAAGGGAGCGUAGCUGGGGGGUUAAGUUAGAUGUGAAAUCCCGAGGCUCAACCGUGGAAUGGCAGUUGAUACUGGUAGGCUUGAGUGCAGAUGAGGUAGGCGGAAUGCAUGGUGUAGCGGUGAAAUGCGUAGAGAUCAUGAAGAACACCGAUUGCGAAGGCAGCUGACUAAGCUGCGACUGACGUUGAGGCUCGAAAGCGUGGGGAGCAAACAGGAUUAGAUACCCCAGUAGUC